GGUAGAGUGGCAGAGUGGUUUAAUGCAACGGUCUUGAAAACCGUCGGUCUUGAAAGAGGCCCGUGAGUUCGAAUCUCACCUCUAUCGCCA
rnacentral:tRNA from 1 species